rnacentral:tRNA from 1 species
GGAUGGUGGCUCAGUGGUAAAGCACUUGCUUAGCAUGUGUGAGGCACUGGGUUCCAUUCUCAGCACCA